rnacentral:lncRNA from 9 species
CACCUUGCUUCAAACUACUCAAUUACAAUGUAUUUAAUAGCAAAGAUUCUCUAUUUUUUCUUUUUCCUAUGCAGCUGUAACAAAUUGCCACAGAUUUAGUGGCUUUAAAACAACACAAAUUUAUUAUUUUGUAGUCCUGUAUGUCAUAAGUGUGUAACAGAUCUCAAUGGGCUAACAUCAGGAUAUCAGGAGGGCUGAGUUCCUUCAAAAAUCCUAGAGAAGGGAGUUCCCCUUGUAGCUCAGUGGGUUUCAAGCCCAACUAGUAUCCAUGAGGAUGUGGUUCUAUCCCUGGCCUCGCUCAGUGCAUUAAGGAUGGGGCAUUGCUGUGAGCUGUGAUGUAGGUUGCAGAUGCGGCUCGGAUCCCAUGUUGCUGAGGCUGUGGCCUUGCCAGCAACUAUAGCUCCGAUUUGAUCCCUAGCCUUGGAACUUCUGUAUGACGCAAGUGUCGCCCUAAAACGUUUAAAAAAAAAAAAAAGAUCCUAGAGAAGAAUCUGUUUUCUUACCUUUUCCACUGUCUAGAGGCUGCCUGCAUUCCUUAGCUGGUGCUCCCUACCCUCCUCAGAGGGAGCAAUGGCUAGUUGAGUCUUCUCAGGAUGAUUCACUCUGACACAGUCUCUCCUCUCUCACUUAUAAGAGUCUCUGUUAUUACAUAGGGCCCACCUGAACAAUCCAUGGUAAUUGCCUCAUCUCAAAAAAGUCAGGUGAUUUGCCAACUUAAUUCUGCCUGCUACUUUAAUUCUCCUUGACCUGUACAUGUAACAUGUUUGCAGGUUUGGGGGAUUAGCAUGCACCAGCUUUGGGAGGGAAGUGUUAUUUCACCUACCACAGAGUUAUUUGUUUUUCUCUGGGGGCGAAUAUGCGAUUUUACAUGUUUUAUCUAAAUAAAUGCUGAAGACUUUAAAUGAAGCUGGCCUUUUUUUUGCCCUUAUAUAUAACUUGGAAUUGAGGGACAACAACAACAAAAUCUUUUGCCAAUAUCUAUAAAAUAAACCAAGAAUUUAGAAACCACUCCUGCCCUGCCCAGUAAUUUACUUACGCUUUACUAAUAAUCUUAGCUAGAAAAACCCAAAGUAAAUGUUAAAAUAUUGUGAAAUUAACCUAAAAAUUAUUUCAAACUGACAAAGGCCUGUCUUUGCCUGAUAAUACACAAAAUAUACAAACAGAGGGUCUUUGUUUAUAGGGCAAAUGGUUUUGUUCGAAAACUGGUCGAAGUUAUACUCACGAAAACUAAAAAAAAAUAGAAACCUUUAAAGGUAUUAAAGGAGGAGAGAAAAGAGAAAGAGAACAGGUAGAUUUUGGUUCUUUACCUCCUGUUAUAGUAAGCACCCCACUUUUUAUUGGUCAUUUUCCAGCAGAGGCAAGAGACUUUUUUGCACCCACCAGGUUUUAAUGGGCCACUCUUGGAUUGGCUUUCAGAGUCACUGGGUGAUGUUGGCAGGGUAUUAAUCAAACAUGAAGGAAAAUCAACAAAAUACAAUGCAUGGGUUUUCAACAGUGCUUUUCUUGCCUUUUCUGGAUUAUCAUAUACAGUGGGCUGUAUCAACAUUAUCCAGGUAGGAUGAGGAAAAAACAUAAUUGACAUUUUUCUGUUACCAAAUAUUUUACCAACUAUUAGUCAGACUGACUAGAAAUAAUGCAAAUCUUUCCAGGCCCUGGGAAAGGCUUUUUGUCCAGCUUGAGGAAGUAUUCAUCAAAAUAUUAAACUGGGAGUUCCCAUCGGGGCUCAGUGGAAACAAAUCUGACCAGUAUCCAUGAGGACCCAGGUUUGAACCCUGGCCUUUCUCAUGGGUUAAGGAUCUGGCGUUGCUGUGAUCUGUGGUGUAGGCCAGCAGCUACAGCUUAGUAUUGGACCUGUAGCCUGGGAACUUCCAUAUGCUGCAGUUGCAGCCCUAAAAAGACCAAAAAAAAAAAAAAAAAAAAA